UACGGGGGGGGCAAGCGUUGUUCGGAAUUACUGGGCGUAAAGGGCUCGUAGGCGGCCAACUAAGUCAGACGUGAAAUCCCUCGGCUUAACCGGGGAACUGCAUCUGAUACUGGAUGGCUUGAGUUCGGGAGAGGGAUGCGGAAUUCCAGGUGUAGCGGUGAAAUGCGUAGAUAUCAGGAGGAACACCAAUAGCGAAGGCAGCUCGCUGGGACGUUACUGACACUGAGGCGCGAAAGCGUGGGGAGCGAACAGG
rnacentral:rRNA from 1 species